rnacentral:snRNA from 1 species
UUUCUUUCUCAAAUGAUUUUC